rnacentral:pre_miRNA from 1 species
CAUACCGCUCAACUGUCCCGCUUUCCGCGGGACAGUCCCGGUUUUGGUAGCGCAUCCCGCUGUCCCGGAUAGUUCCAUGAAUGUCCCGCAUUUCCGUAAUGUGGAACAUUCAUGGAACUAUCCCUCACAGCGGGAUGCGCUACCAAAACCGGGACUGUCCCGCGGAAAGCGGGACAGUUGAGCGGUAUGAAUCAUA